AUACGGAGGGUGCGAGCGUUACUCGGAGUCACUGGGCGUAAAGCGUCCGUAGGCGGUCGGGUAAGUCGGGUGUGAAAGCCCCGGGCUCAACCUGGGAAGUGCACCCGAUACUGCUCGACUCGAGUGCGGGAGAGGAUGGCGGAAUUCCCGGUGUAGCGGUGAAAUGCGUAGAGAACGGGAGGAACACCAGUGGCGAAGGCGGCCAUCUGGCCCGCAACUGACGCUGAGGGACGAAAGCGUGGGGAGCAAACAGGAUUAGAAACCCUAGUAGUCC
rnacentral:rRNA from 1 species